GAUGAACGCUGGCGGCGUGCCUAAUACAUGCAAGUCGAGCGAACAGACGAGGAGCUUGCUCCUCUGCCGGUAGCGGCGGACGGGCGAGUAACACGUGGAUAACCUACCUAUAAGUCUGGGAUAACUUCGGGAAACCGGAGCUACUACCGGAUAAUAUAUUGAACCGCAUGGUUCAAUAGUGAAUGACGGUUUUGCUGACACUUAUAGCUGGAUCCGCGCCGCAUUAGCUAGUUGGUAAGGUAACGGCUUACCAAGGCGACGAUGCGUAGCCGACCUGAGAGGGUGAUCAGCCACACUGGAACUGAGACACGGUCCAGACUCCUACGGGAGGCAGCUGUAGGGAAUCUUCGGCAAUGGGCGAAAGCCUGACCGAGCAAUGCCGCGUGAGUGAUGAAGGUCUUCGGAUCGUAAAGCUCUGUUAUUAGGGAAGAACAAAUGUGUAAGUAACCAUGCACGUCUUGACGGUACCUAAACAAAAAGCCACGGCUAACUACGUG
rnacentral:rRNA from 1 species